rnacentral:rRNA from 1 species
UGAGGAAUAUUGGGGCAAUGGGGGCCAACCCUGACCCAGCCAUGCCGCGUGAGUGAAGAAGGUUUUCGGAUUGUAAAGCUCUUUCGGAUGUGACGAUGAUGACGGUAGCAUCUAAAGAAGCCCCGGCAAACUUCGUGCCAGCAGCCGCGGUAAUACGAAGGGGGCAAGCGUUGUUCGGAAUUACUGGGCGUAAAGGGUGUGUAGGCGGUUAUGUAAGAUAGCGGUGAAAUCCCAGGGCUUAACCUUGGAAUUGCCGUUAUGACUAUGUAACUAGAAUUAUGGAGAGGAUAUCGGAAUACCCAGUGUAGAGGUGAAAUUCGUAGAUAUUGGGUAGAACACCAGUGGCGAAGGCGGGUAUCUGGCCAUAUAUUGACGCUGAGGUACGAAAGCAUGGGGAUCAAACAGGAUUAGAUACCC